rnacentral:lncRNA from 1 species
CCUACCUCACCAGCUCACUCUCCAUCCCUGUUCAGUAUAUAUUUAACCAGCCUACCUCACCAGCUCACUCUCCAUCCCUGUUCAGUAUAUGUAUUGUCCAGUCUACCUCACCAGCUCACUCUCCAUCCCUGUCCAGUCUACCUCACCAGCUCACUCUCCAUCCCUGUUCAGUAUAUAUAUUAACCAGCCUACCUCACCAGCUCACUCUCCAUCCCUGUUCAGUAUAUAUAUUAACCAGUCUACCUCACCAGCUCACUCUCCAUCCCUGUUCAGUAUAUAUAUUAACCAGUCUACCUCACCAGCUCACUCUCCAUCCCUGCUUUGGACAAUUAAUAGCAUGACUCUCGUACUUUGCCCUUUUCCUUUAUGGUUGAUAUUAACGACGAAAGGAAAUAUUAUCUGUCCUAUUGUGUUAAAUACUGUGGAAAAAUACAAAAAAAACAGGAAAAUAAAUACUUAGAACUACCAAUUAUUAUAGAUAAAUAUUAAAGAAAAGGGUAAAAACAACACUGGACUUAACCCCCUAACUGUCAAACGAAUAAUAAUGUACAACAAUAUAGAAGAUACAUGAAGAGGUUCUGCAAUAUGGGGGUAUAUCCCCUGCACGCUUCUUAGGUGUCUAAUUGACAUGACCAAGGAGCUAUUGAAAUGUAAAACCAUGAAACAUGCAUGUUAUGUGCGUGAUUUUACAGUACACAAACAAAGAGUGUGCACUAUAAGGCUAAUCCGUGGGCAUUCUGAAGUGUGUUUGAAGUCAGUAGGUCACAUGACCAAGGAGCUAUUGAAAUUAGAAAGUUUGAAAAAUUAUUGUAAAACGUGUGAGAUGAAAAUGAACAAAUCAAAGGAUGUGCAAUAUGGACGGGUAGUCAGUGGACAUUCUGAAUCUUGUUUGAGUCAAGAAGGUCCCAUGACCAAGGAGCUAUUGAAAUUCGAAUGUAAAAAAAGUUUGUACUUUGUUUACACUCCCUAACUAAUUAAUCUAUGAAUACUAAAUGCUGCUCACAUUUCCACAUGUUUAUUAGCUUUGGAAAGCGAAUGAAUGUCCGAAUCAUAAAAAAAAUAAGACAUGUGCAAUGUUGUGUGCAAUUUUUCCAACAUCAUGACACUUAUUUGGAGUCUGUGGCUCAAAGUGGUUUGAAAGCGCGAAUAUCCAACUUGAAACUGUCUUUACCCCGGUAGCUCCGAGACAUUUUUACAACUAAUUGUAACUCUAAAAAUAAACACAUGGGCACAUGUUACCAAACAUGAUAAUAAUAGGCCUGCAUUACGGGAGGCAGUUAAUUGUUAAAUCACACUUGCCAUACUUACCUUGGAAGGCUACUGUCUCUGCGCUGAUCGCCUGUGAGUGAGACAACGUUAGCUAGUCAAUGGGAGAGUAGUAGAACGCCCCUCUGAAUAAUAGCUGUAGUUUUGGCUUAACUGCGUUGGGAAAAAGAAAGACUCAGGUGAGGCACACAAAUGCUUAUAUUUUCUCGUAGUGAGGA